rnacentral:misc_RNA from 1 species
UUUUUUUUUUUUUUUUUUUGUGGUAAAUGAGGAUAAGUUCCAUCUAUGACAUGUUAGGUUUAAGCCUGUGUAGUCUGUCACACACAUGUGAACAGUUGUUUUUAAAGAGUUUGCAUUAGUUCAUUGUGUUUUCCAUUAAAUAUUAAAAAAUUGUUUCUCCUUGAUAAAAAAAAAAUGUUGUAAUGCGCAUUCUUAUUCUACCUAUUUACAGGAGCUUGGCCUGUCCUAAUAGA